rnacentral:rRNA from 1 species
AAUUUAAUUUAUGAAUUUAAUUUUUAGGUUAAAAAGCUAAAAUGUUUUUAUAGGACGAGAAGACCCUAUAGAUCUUUACAGUUAUGUUAGGUAUAAUGAUUUGGUGAAUUAUUUAUUAUUAUUCAAUGAUUUUGUUUGAUUGGGGUGAUUGUGGAAUUCUUUUAACUUCCAUUAUUUUUUUUCAAGGGUUAUUGUUUUUUUGAUCCAUUAGUAAUGAUUAGAAGAUUAAGUUACCUUAGGGAUAACAGCGUAAUUUCUUCGGAGAGCUCAUAUUGAUGAGGAA